UCUACGGGAGGCAGCAGUGGGGAAUAUUGGACAAUGGGCGAAAGCCUGAUCCAGCCAUGCCGCGUGUGUGAAGAAGGUCUUCGGAUUGUAAAGCACUUUAAGUUGGGAGGAAGGGCAGUUGCCUAAUACGUAACUGUUUUGACGUUACCGACAGAAUAAGCACCGGCUAACUCUGUGCCAGCAGCCGCGGUAAU
rnacentral:rRNA from 1 species